rnacentral:rRNA from 1 species
UACAGAGGGGGCAAGCGUUAUUCGGAAUUAUUGGGCGUAAAGGGCGCGUAGGCGGCCUGGCAAGUGGAAGGUGAAAUCCCUCGGCUUAACCGAGGAACUGCCCUCCAAACUGCUUGGCUUGAGUCCGGGAGAGGUGAGUGGAACUGCGAGUGUAGAGGUGAAAUUCGUAGAUAUUCGCAAGAACACCAGUGGCGAAGGCGGCUCACUGGCCCGAUGCUGACGCUGAGGUGCGAAAGCGUGGGGAGCAAACAGG